AAAGAAAAAGGCGAAGGACCAUGCACCAGUGACAGAAUGGCACUGGAGGAAGUCAACAGCUUCAAGUUCCUGACCCGACACAUGUCUGAUGAUCUGUCCUAGGCCCAGCACAAUGAUGCAAUUACA